UGGCGGCAUGCUUUACACAUGCAAGUCGAACGGUAACAGGGAGCUUGCUCCGCUGACGAGUGGCGAACGGGUGAGUAAUGCAUCGGAACGUACCCAGUCGUGGGGGAUAACGUAGCGAAAGUUACGCUAAUACCGCAUACGUCCUGAGGGAGAAAGCGGGGGACCGUAAGGCCUCGCGCGAUUGGAGCGGCCGAUGUCGGAUUAGCUAGUUGGUAGGGUAAAGGCCUACCAAGGCGACGAUCCGUAGCGGGUCUGAGAGGAUGAUCCGCCACACUGGGACUGAGACACGGCCCAGACUCCUACGGGAGGCAGCAAGGGCG
rnacentral:rRNA from 1 species